ensembl:lncRNA
AGUCCCCUUCCACGGCCCUGAGAGAAGGAGGGAGACUGGUGGCCUUUAAAGGAAAAGACUCAGAGAUUUGAACGGUUGCCAGGCGGCCUCCAGGAAGAAGCAGCUGGGAGAAGCAGGACGGCACUGGACGCUUGGCAGAGAAAGACCCUGGGCAAGAGACUGGGGGUAAAGAUUUGGAGAUGAAAUAGCAAAGCGCUGAUCUAACUCAGGGCUGGCCCAAGCUGUUCCCAAGAGGGGCCCCUCAUCUUUACGAGAAUCUCUUGAGUGUCUGACUGUCUCGCUUGAUGCAGACCCAGGCUGGCCAUGGGGAUGGAAAGAGAACACGUAAAAGUGGAAAUGCGAUGCUGAGGAAAAAUCGGAAGAAAUGGAAGGAAUCUGACCUCCCCACCCCCACCCUCGAGCCCGUCAACGCAGUCUCAAUGGGAGCAGUUGCCACCUCUUUUCACUGCCUCUUCGGGUUGUAGUAGUGGCUACAUUUAUCCCAAAACAAUGAAAAGCCAACCACAAAGUUCCCCCAGCUCCCAGCCAUGCUGACACGGAAGGGAGAGGCUGUGGAAGAUGGCACUGGAUGUCCGAUGGCCCAGCCUGGUGGUGAAGGAUGUCACUUCUGCCUAUAUUCCGUUUCCCGCACUCAAUCAUGUGGUCCACGCCAUGCUGCACAGGCAGUUUGAGGAUGUGGUCUUCCCACCUGGCCAAGAUAAGGGAUGGGAAAAACUCUGGUAACAACAAGGGUCCCUGGAGAAGCCAGUCGGGGUAUCAGUGAUGGAGGUUACAAGGAAUACAGACAUCCUCUUACUUCAGAUGAUGACAUUAAGAGAAAGAAAGAAAACAGAGGAAUUGGGAAAUACAUCAGUGACUGGACAGCCACUUACCAGUCAAGACACAGCACCAGCACUAACGACCCAAUGAGAACUCUGGGGACCAGGCAUCUUCUUGUCUCGGAAGUGGACAUCUGUCACUCCCUCCUUGUGAUCCCCACACUGGUGACUUUGUUUCUUUCACACAUGAUUUGUCCACCUGCUGCCUCUGAAAGUUAGUGUCACUAUAUAUAGAAUUCUAGGUUGAAUGCUGGUGUUUUUUCGUUCAGCACUUAAAAUGAUCAUUUCAUUGUCUUCUGUCUUGUAUUAUUUCUGAUGAGAAGUCAGUCAUCAUUCUUGACAUUCCAUUUUUUAAAAAUCUCUUUUCAAUCUCUGACUCAGUUGGAUAAUAUCUAUAACUGCUGUUCAAGUUCAUUAAUGUUUUCUUUCUUUCUUUGUUUUUUUUUGGUGAGGAAGAUUGGCCCUGAGCUAAGUUCUGUUGCCAAUCUUCUUUUUUUCCCCUGCCCACAGCCCCAGUACCUAGUUGUCUGUCCUAGCUGUAGGUCCUUCCAGUUCUUCUAUGUGGGACACUGCCUCAGCAUGGCUUGAUGAGCGAUGGUAGGCAAACCCCAGGCUGCUGAAGUGGAGUGUGUGAACCUAACCACUACACCACUGGGCAGGCCCCACUAAUGUUGGCUUUUGAGGAUUCAAACUGCUGUUAAUAUCAUCUAGUGAACUUUUUAUUUCAGGCAUUGCAUUUUAUCAUGCUAGAAUUUCCAUUUUCUCCUUUUUUAGUGUUCACUUUUCUUGCCUGAGAUACCCCUAUCUCUUACAUUCACCUUUCUCUGUAAAUUCUUAAAAAUGUUUAUAAUAAUUGUUUUAAAAUUCUUCUUCAUUCCAAUAACUGGGGUUAACGGCCGGUCUGCCUCUAUUGACCAUGCUUUCUCUUGACUGUUGGUCAGUGUCUCCUGUUUGUUUGCAUGCCUCAUAAAUUUUUACUGUAUCUCAUAAACGUGUAUACAAAGACAGUGAAGACUGAAGUAUAAUAAUCUUCACAUUUUAUUUCUCAGAGAAUGCAGGCCCUUUCUCUCUGUCUGGCAGGCUGAAGGGCCAAUUAUUCACAUUCCUUCUGGAGUCAGAUUGACCCGGAUCUGGGCUGAAGUUUUAAUUAGAUUGAGAUUAUUUAUGCUUAGACGGACCCCCCAACUCGCACACUACUGCUGUCUUUUUGACAUUACCAAUAUUUGAGCUGAUGGUCUUCCAUUUUAAAUAUUUUUCAUUUACUUUGGAUUCAAGUCAGCAGAACCCUGGAAUCCAAGCUCUGUGGGAAUUCGGGGUUCUUGGUGACUUUGCUCUGCAUUUUAGUCCUUUCUUGUCUGAUUCUUUUCGGUCAAAGUUUGAGGGGAGAAGUUGUUGGGACCAUUUGUUUUUGUAAUUGGGACACUUCCACAUUUCGGAUUCACCUCUCUAGCCUCCACCACCAUCAGAGGCUCAGCUGAUUUCUUCUCCUUCCUGCAAAGUCCCUGCCAUACCUAAACCACAAACUCUUCCCUGGGGGUCGGCUGUCCUGACUCUCCGUUUGCCAGCGGAGGGCUCGUUUCUCAGAAACUCAGUUCAGUAAGCCUCCCUUUGUCCCAGAUCUUUCUUAGCCCCUUCGAAAAGUGUGAUUUUUAUAUGUCUGGGUUUUUGUUGGUGUUACCACGUGAACAAAGAUGUUUCAAGUCCUACCUUCUAACCUGAAGUGGAUGUCAGAAUCAAAGAUUUGAAUUUUUAAAAAUAUAACCAUAGGAUCACUAGAAAAAAAUAUGGGAUAAUUUAUUUUACAAUUUGGAAUGGAGAAAGUCCUUUCAAAGCAGGACGCAAACCUCAGAGCCUCAGAAAUCAUAGGGUGAUUUAAGCUCCCUCUUUCUGUCUCUCUCUCUCAUAUGCGUGAUGCGUGAGAUAUAUAGAUGUAUAUAUUCAUAGAUAUAGAUAUGGAUCUAUAUAUCUCUUCAACUUCAGUAUAGUAAAAUAUACCAAAGACAGAUGACAAACUGAGAAAGAAAUAUUUGCAACACAUAAGACAAAGAUUGCUUCAAAAAAACAUGUUGAGAUUUUUUAAUAAAUAAUUUUAGAAGGGAAAUGGAAAAGGCAGAUAGUUCACAUAAAAAUCAUCAUAAAUAGAUUGUCAACAUGGAAAGAUGCUCCCACUCACUGAAAAUUAAGAACUACGACGGGGGCCGGCUCUGUGGUCCAGUGGUUAAGUUCGUGUGCUCCGCUGCGGCGGCCCAGGGUUCAGACCCUGGGCGCGGACAUGGCACCGCUCAUCAGGCCAUGUUGAGGUUGCGUCCCACAUCCCACAACUAGAAGGACCUGCAACUAAGAUAUACAACUGUGUACCCGGGGGGUUUGGGAAAUAAAGCAGAAAAAAAAAAAAAAAAGAUUGGCAACAGUUGUUAGCCCAGGUGCCAAUCUUUAAAAAAAAAAAAAAAACUACGACGUGGACUGGACACUGUUUUCGCCUGUCACCUUGACACAGCUAGGUGCCAGGGUCUGGGAAGCCAGCAGUCGCACACACUGUGGAGGGGGGUGGAAAUUAGCACAGCGUCCUUAGAUGUGUUUGUUUCACGUUCUCUUAAGAGUGUUUUUUGUCAAUCUCUAACAAAAUUAGAAAAUUAAUAUGACCUUUGACCCAGCAAUUUCAGUUCCUAGGAAUUUAUUCUACAGAUAUGCCUAAAAUGCACAUAAGGAUGUGUGCAAAAGCGUAAUGAUUGCCGCAUUGUUGACAAGAGCAAAAACUGAAAACAACUAAUAUCCGUAAUGCGGGGCUGGUUAAAAAUUUAUGGCAUAUCAUCUCAACGGAAUGCUCCAAAGCUAGAAGGAAAUUCAGAGCCGUGUGUGCCGAGAUAGAAAGAUUACCAAGGUAUAUGGCCAAGUGCAAAAACCAAGACAUAGAAUAAUAUGAUUUAUAUGCCCUCAUUUAUAUAAAAAGAGGAGAUCAAUGGAUGUGUGUACAGGACAAUGUCUGGAAGGUACACAGGGAAUUGUUGAGGAGCGGGAUUAGGAGUCUGGGUUGGAAGGGGGUUUGUUUUUCAUUUUAAACUGCCCUAUUAUUUGAAUUUUUUUAAAAUCAAGGACCGUGUUAUUUUUAUAAAAUAAAGGAAGUCAUCACUAUGCUAUGAAAUAGGGCCUUUAGCAAUGUUUAUUACUUACUGACUUAUAUGGGUGUUGUAUCACAGACGGUGUCAUAUUCCCUUUUGAAUAUUCUCAGAGUCCAUUCUAGAGAGAGCCUUUCACACAGGAGAAACAAGGUGUGAACAAAGGAGCAAAUGAAACUAUGAAUUUAUUGACAGCCCGUGCGAGAUAUGCAAGUUGGCAGAAUCUACUGAUAAUCUCAAACCACCUUCUUCAGUGGUCCAGAUAAUGACCUAUUUUGCUGACCCGAAGUCAGAGCUACUACUCAUAAAGGCUUUGAAAAAACAUCAAUGAACAUUCGCUUUUGGGUGGGGCUAAGCCAUCAUUCUAGAAGAAAAAACGAUCUCUUGUCUUGUGUGAACCGCAACGGUAUUUUGGAAAUCACGGAACACUGGGCUGGGAAGCAAGUCUGAGUUCCGUAAUAAAUACUAACUAGCAUACAACCUGAAGUGAGUUACUGUUCCUGUUCCGGCUUCAUCUGUGACACGGUGACUGAUGGCUAAG